UACGGGGGGGGCAAGCGUUGUUCGGAAUUACUGGGCGUAAAGGGCUCGUAAGCGGCCAACUAAGUCAGACGUGAAAUCCCUCGGCUUAACCGGGGAACUGCGUCUGAUACUGGAUGGCUUGAGUUUGGGAGAGGGAUGCGGAAUUCCAGGUGUAGCGGUGAAAUGCGUAGAUAUCUGGAGGAACACCGGUGGCGAAGGCGGCAUCCUGGACCAACACUGACGCUGAGUGAGCGAAAGCCAGGGGAGCAAACGGG
rnacentral:rRNA from 1 species